rnacentral:rRNA from 1 species
CCUACGGGUGACUGCAGUGAGGAAUAUUGGUCAAUGGGCGCGAGCCUGAACCAGCCAAGUAGCGUGAAGGAUGACUGCCCUACGGGUUGCAAACUUCUUUUGCCGGGGAGCAGUGGUCCGGACGCGUCCGGACCGGGAGAGUACCCGGAGAAAAAGCAUCGGCUAACUCCGUGCCAGCAGCCGCGGUAAUACGGAGGAUGCGAGCGUUAUCCGGAUUUAUUGGGUUUAAAGGGUGCGUAGGCGGGCAUUUAAGCCGGCGGUCAAAUGUCGGGGCUCAACCCCGGCCUGCCGUCGGAACUGGGUGCCUUGAGUGGGCGAGAAGUAUGCGGAAUGCGUGGUGUAGCGGUGAAAUGCAGAGAUAUCACGCAGAACCCCGAUUGCGAAGGCAGCAUACCGGCGCCCUACUGACGCUGAGGCACGAAAGUGCGGGUAUCGAACAGGAUUAGAUACCCGAGUAGUC